UACGAAGGUCCCAAGCGUUAUCCGGAUUUAUUGGGUUUAAAGGGUGCGUAGGCGGACUGUUAAGUCAGUGGUGAAAGCUCCAUGCCUAACAUGGAAAUUGCCAUUGAUACUGACGGUCUUGAGUACAUUUGAAGUGGGCGGAAUGUGUCAUGUAGCGGUGAAAUGCUUAGAUAUGACACAGAACACCGAUUGCGUAGGCAGCUCACUAAACUGUAACUGACGCUGAGGCACGAAGGCGUGGGGAGCAAACAGG
rnacentral:rRNA from 1 species